CGGGGCAACCUGGCGGCGAGUGGCGAACGGGUGAGUAAUAUAUCGGAACGUACCCAGAAGUGGGGGAUAACGUAGCGAAAGUUACGCUAAUACCGCAUACGAUCUACGGAUGAAAGUGGGGGACCUUCGGGCCUCAUGCUUUUGGAGCGGCCGAUAUCUGAUUAGCUAGUUGGUGGGGUAAAGGCUCACCAAGGCGACGAUCAGUAGCUGGUCUGAGAGGACGACCAGCCACACUGGAACUGAGACACGGUCCAGACUCCUACGGGAGGCAGCAGUGGGGAAUUUUGGACAAUGGGCGCAAGCCUGAUCCAGCAAUGCCGCGUGAGUGAAGAAGGCCUUCGGGUUGUAAAGCUCUUUUGUCAGGGAAGAAACGGCUGCGGCUAAUAUCCGCGGCUAAUGACGGUACCUGAAGAAUAAGCACCGGCUAACUACGUGCCAGCAGCCGCGGUAAUACGUAGGGUGCAAGCGUUAAUCGGAAUUACUGGGCGUAAAGCGUGCGCAGGCGGUUUUGUAAGUCUGAUGUGAAAUCCCCGGGCUCAACCUGGGAAUUGCAUUGGAGACUGCAAGGCUGGAGUCUGGCAGAGGGGGGUAGAAUUCCACGUGUAGCAGUGAAAUGCGUAGAGAUGUGGAGGAACACCGAUGGCGAAGGCAGCCCCCUGGGUCAAGACUGACGCUCAUGCACGAAAGCGUGGGGAGCAAACAGGAUUAGAUACCCUGGUAGUCCACG
rnacentral:rRNA from 1 species